AUCAUACUCCCUCCGUCCCAAAUUUCUUGUCUUAAAUUUAUCUAGAUACGGAUGUAUCUAUCACUAAAAUGUGAAUAAAUACAUUCGUAUGUAGACAAAUCAAAGACAAGAAUUUUGGGACGGAGCGAGUAUCUG
rnacentral:pre_miRNA from 1 species